rnacentral:rRNA from 1 species
AUGCUUGUCAUUCUUGGAUACACAAGUGAUUUGUCUGAUUGUUUGCAAAGAAGAGACCAAGACAUUCUUUCUGCAAUGACAAUGGUUAGAUUGGCAAAAGAUAGAAUACAAGAACUGAGGUCUAAUGGGUGGGAUGCAUUUCUUCAAAGAGUCACAUUAUUUUGUAACAAGCAUAGCAUUCAAGUUCCUACAAUGGAGGAUAAUUAUGUGCCUUAUGGAAGAUCAACAUGGUUUGUUCGACCCCAAACAAAUGAUGAUCACUUUAGAAGAGAAGUAUUUCUUGGAGUAAUUGAUCAAAUUAGUCAAGAGCUUGAAAAUCGGUUUGACGAGAUCAAUAUGGAGUUGCUAUCUUGUAUGUCUGCUUUGAAUCCUGCCAACUCAUUUGCUGCUUUUGAUGCACACAAGGUAUGCAAACUUGCUGAGUUCUAUCCAGAAGACUUUUCAAGUGCUGACUUGAUACACCUUGAACUACAACUUGGUAACUAUAUUGGUGACAUGAGAAAAGAUGAGAACUUUCAAGGCCUUGGGAAUUUUGUUGAUCUCUCAAUUAAGCUUGUUCAAACAGGGAGGCAUAUAGUUCAUAAUUUCGUGUACUUACUUCUAAAAUUGGUAUUGAUUCUACCAGUGGAAACGGCAAAUGUUGAGAGAGCAUUUUCUGCCAUGAGUUUAGUCAAAAACAAGUUGAGAAAUAAGAUGGGUGAUAGUCUUUUGGAUGAUUGCCUGGUCACAUACAUUGAGUGGGAUAUUUUCUCUGAGGUGAAUGAAGAUGACAUAAUUGAUACUUUCAUGGCCAUGCAGAAGCGUGGGCCGGAAACAUAG